GUAGCUUGCUACCCGCUGACGAGCGGCGGACGGGUGAGUAAUGCAUAGGAAUCUGCCCGRUAGUGGGGGAUAACCUGGGGAAACCCAGGCUAAUACCGCAUACGUCCUACGGGAGAAAGGGGGCUYCGGCUCCCGCUAUUGGAUGAGCCUAUGUCGGAUUAGCUAGUUGGUAAGGUAAUGGCUUACCAAGGCAACGAUCCGUAGCUGGUCUGAGAGGAUGAUCAGCCACAUCGGGACUGAGACACGGCCCGAACUCCUACGGGAGGCAGCWGUGGGGAAUAUUGGACAAUGGGGGCAACCCUGAUCCAGCCAUGCCGCGUGUGUGAAGAAGGCCCUCGGGUUGUAAAGCACUUUCAGCGAGGAAGAACGCCUAUCGGUUAAUACCCGGUAGGAAAGACAUCACUCGCARAAGAAGCACCGGCUAACUCCGUGCCAGCAGCCGCGGUAAUACGGAGGGUGCAAGCGUUAAUCGGAAUUACUGGGCGUAAAGCGCGCGUAGGUGGCUUGAUAAGCCGGUUGUGAAAGCCCCGGGCUCAACCUGGGAACGGCAUCCGGAACUGUCAGGCUAGAGUGCAGGAGAGGAAGGUAGAAUUCCCGGUGUAGCGGUGAAAUGCGUAKAGAUCGGGAGGAAUACCASUGGCGAAAGGCGG
rnacentral:rRNA from 1 species